CAGCAGGCGCGAAAACUUUGCAAUGCGGGAAACCGUGACAAGGGAACUCUGAGUGCCCGUUAAAUCGGGCUGUCCAUCGGUUUAAACAACCGGUGAAGAAAGGGCCGGGCAAGACCGGUGCCAGCCGCCGCGGUAAUACCGGCGGCUCGAGUGGUGGCCACUAUUACUGGGCUUAAAGCGUUCGUAGCUGGUUUGUUAAGUCUCUGGGGAAAUCUUCCGGCUCAACCGGAAGGCGUCUCAGGGAUACUGGCAGACUAGGGACCGGGAGAGGUGAGAGGUACUCCAGGGGUAGGAGUGAAAUCCUGUAAUCCUUGGGGGACCACCUGUGGCGAAGGCGUCUCACCAGAACGGCUCCGACAGUGAGGGACGAAAGCUGGGGGAGCAAACCGGAUUAGAUACCCGGGUAGUCCCAGCUGUAAACGAUGCGCGUUAGGUGUAUCGGUGACCACGAGUCACCGAGGUGCCGAAGAGAAAUCGUGAAACGUGCCGCCUGGGAAGUACGGUCGCAAGGCUGAAACUUAAAGGAAUUGGCGGGGGAGCACAAGG
rnacentral:rRNA from 1 species